AUAUAUAAGCUAAACACAAAGAGUAUCAAUACAACACAGUUUUACAAAGUGGUACCAAUAGUAUUGAAAAUUGUACUCUACCAUUUAAGCCCUAUUCACUAUUGAAUAAACAUGCGUUCUUACGUGCUUUAGUUUUUAAUUCACAUUUGACUAUCGAAAUUAGAGGUAAUCUUUCAGUCUCAGUUUGGUUAUUUUUCUUUUAGAUAUUGAAUUCUUACUUAUUAAAGUCAAAAUUAUCUUUUAUUUUAUGUGCUUCCGAUUUGGGAAUUGGGGAAAGUUUACAGGGACGCCAUCAUUAUGAUAUGGAUGCAACAAGAAAGAAAGAACAUUAAGUAAAACUCACCAGAAAUCUUGUGAGUAUUUGACUUUUCCUUUAGCUGAUUUUGCACGUGCAUGUACUCAUUCACUAUUUUGUCUCAAUUUUUUAUGUAUAGAAUAUAUUACGAAGAAUUCAGUGAGAAUAUAGACUCUCUGAAAAUAUUUCUCAAAGAGUCCAUGGAGACAUGCCUUCGAUUUGUUUGUGUCACAAGUGGUUCUCUCUGCUGACUGUAAGAAACAGAACAAGGGGGAGCCAAACCAUGAAAAAGGGAAACACAUUCAACUUCUAAUUUUCAAGACUAAAGGGAACAACAAAUAGUAAUGUUUGGGCACAGAAGAGUUAGAUAUGUUGACACAUUACUAAAAUUUGAAUCAUAGUCCAGAUGUUGACACAUUAUUAGUAAUGUCUGUAGAUGCAGAAUGUUUCUAAAAACUUUGAGCACUCUUACUUUUUGAUUAUUUCGUUUGGGUGAAAAUUUGAGUCAAUAUUUUAUGUAGUUCACCUUAUCAAUGAUUUUGCAAAUGCUUGAGUGAAUACAAUUUAUUUCCUUA